rfam:Streptococcus sp. HSISB1 chromosome, whole genome shotgun sequence.
UAAUUGCUGUGGCAUACGAAUUCACAUCAAUGUGUUGACCGACUAAAUAUUUGUAUUUCGGGAAACAGUAGUCUUUCUCCAGUAUGCAAGCCGUCACACGCGGAAGCGACUAAGGAGAAGCGAGUUGCCCACCUGCUUUUACAUUCGCGGGUUCAAUACAAAUCGUGGAUCACGGUGCCAAUACAGCUUCUCA